rnacentral:rRNA from 1 species
UACGUAGGGGGCAAGCGUUGUCCGGAAUCAUUGGGCGUAAAGCGCAUGUAGGCGGCUCGAUAAGUCUGCUGUGAAAGUCCAGGGCUCAACCCUGGGAUGCCGGUGGAUACUGUCGAGCUCGAGUCCGGAAGAGGCGAGUGGAAUUCCUGGUGUAGCGGUGAAAUGCGCAGAUAUCAGGAGGAACACCAAUGGCGAAGGCAGCUCGCUGGGACGUGACUGACGCUGAGACGCGAAAGCGUGGGGAGCAAACAGG